rnacentral:rRNA from 1 species
UAGAGGAUGUUUCGGGUGCGGCGCGGGUCUAAGUCCUUUGGAACAGGGCGUCAUAGAGGGUGAGAAUCCCGUAUGUGACCCGUGAUCAAGCCCAUGUGAAACCCCUUCGACGAGUCGAGUUGUUUGGGAAUGCAGCUCAAAAUGGGUGGUAAAUUUCAUCUAAAGCUAAAUACCGGCCAGAGACCGAUAGCGCACAAGUAGAGUGAUCGAAAGAUGAAAAGCACUUUGGAAAGAGAGUCAAAAAGUACGUGAAAUUGUUGAAAGGGAAGCGCUUGCAACCAGACCUGUCCGCAGGCGAUCAACUCCCGUUCUCGGGGGUGCACUCGUCUGUGAUCAGGCCAGCAUCGGUUCGGGCGGUCGGAUAAAGGCCUUGGGAAUGUGGCUCCUCUCGGGGAGUGUUAUAGCCCUCGGUGCAAUGCGGCCAGCCCGGACCGAGGACCGCGCCUUCGGGCUAGGAUGCUGGCGUAAUGGUUGUAAGCGACCCGUCUUGAAACACGGACCAAGGAGUCUAACAUCUAUGCGAGUGUUUGGGUGUCAAACCCAUACGCGUAAUGAAAGUGAACGGAGGUGAGAACCCUUAAGGGCGCAUCAUCGACCGAUCCAGAUGUCUUCGGAUGGAUUUGAGUACGAGCAUAGCUGUUGGGACCCGAAAGAUGGUGAACUAUGCCUGAAUAGGGUGAAGCCAGGGGAAACCCUGGUGGAGGCUCGCAGCGGUUCUGACGUGCAAAUCGAUCGUCAAAUUUGGGUAUAGGGGCGAAAGACUAAUCGAACCAUC